GGUGCUUUAGAGCUGUAAAAAUCUUCAUGAGACACACUGAUGAUGACGCUGAGACACUUGCCAUUUAUUCUUUUAUUAAUCCUCUCAGGAGAACUCUAUGCAGAAGAGAAACAGUGUGAUUUUCCUACCGUGGAAAAUGGAAGGAUUGCCCAAUAUUAUUAUACGUUUAAAAGCUUUUACUUCCCCAUGAGCGUAGACAAAAAACUAUCAUUCUUCUGUUUGGCUGGCUAUGCAACCGAAAGUGGGAAGCAAGAAGAGCAAAUCAGGUGCACAGCAGAAGGCUGGUCUCCAAACCCAAGGUGCUACAUGGGGAUAAAGUGACAUACAGGUGUGGAGGGGGCUACAGUCUCAGAGGAUCAAGUACGAUAACUUGCAAUCGUGGCCGAUGGACACUGCCCCCUGAGUGUGUUGAAAAUAUUGAGAAUUGUAAGCCUCCUCCUGACAUAGCAAACGGUGUGGUUGUUGAUGGGUUACUGGCAAGUUACACAACAGGAUCUUCUGUGG
rnacentral:lncRNA from 1 species